UCCUUGACUCUGGGUCAGCAGGCUGGGGA
rnacentral:piRNA from 1 species